AAUGACAUCCCCGAGGCAGGUGCCAUCCAUCAGGAGAUCACUUCAUGUCGCUUCCCUUCCGCUGUAACGCCUGUGCAACAGCAGUGACCACUUCUCACAGGUGCAGUAACCGCCAUAACUUAUUACUGAUGCUCCACCGAUGAGUCAGCAGCCAACCCUGGCACAGAACAACCAGGUCACUUAAACAUGAAGCGCCAAGGCUAGCCCGACAGGUACCCAAGGUCUGAUAACCUGCGGUCAGAACAGCCCACAACCCCACAGUGUGGUUAGGAAAGCAUUACCAACAGAACGCCGUCUGCCGGAGUGACUCCUACGUCCCAUGGCUGUCCUGGUUUCCUAGGUGACAGGGAGGUCCUAUUUGCCAGUCCCGGUUCACCUGUUCACUAGCGUUUCUAGUGGGUCCAUUUGCCACCGUAACGGAGUAGGAAGUAAGGCAAGAAAGCCUCUUACAGGCCAAGUGAACAAGCAUGAUAAUCCCCUCUGUGUCUGCUCUGCAACUACCGCUAAUCCAUACUCUGAUAAUCCUACAGGUGAGUCUUCAUAAUACUCAUGAACACACAUCUCGCUAAUGUAUACAUAGGCACAUAUACACGCAUAUAUACGCACAUUGACAGUGUAUCAUACACACACUCUCUUACACGCAAAAGGUGAACAUACAACUCUUUACGCUGGAACACAUGCAAGGCCCCUACAUGCAGCUACUCCCCUGCCCACAGUCACAUGUUUGCAGCAGUGUUCAUGUACAUGCUCUUUUCAGGCAUGCCAUGUCCAUACAUGCAUGUGUUGUGUGUUCUACAGCAUGCGUGUGUUUACAUAGUGGACGAUUGGCGUAAAGACCCCAGUGCAUAGCGAUGUGUCUUCAUCACCACGGUCUGACAUGAGUGGUCACGCUUCUACCUACAAGCACAUGCAGUGAAAGGGUUAAUUCCCGUUUAGCAUUCAUCACUUCAGGCCCCAAGGAGCUACAGCGUAUUCAGGGUCAGCAGCAGUAAUAUUAUAUCUUAACCUUUUCAGACAAGAUCCAGAGACACUCAGUAACUAGACAUUGUAGCUCUUGAGGGCCGGAGGUUGGCAGACAGCUGCUCCUAGCUGUUGCGCAUGGCCACAUGCACCUUGGGACUCCGGAAACAGAUGGGGCGUCAUCCAGUCCAUUUCGAGCAAACUCACUUUUGUCAAACCUGUCUGUGAGGCGGGCGCGCAUGGUAGCGCCUGGGUCCUGCAGUUCAGAAGCCUCCUGCCUAAUGGUGGUCAACACUAACUGCUCUGUAGGCGACAGAGAGGACGCGGCGGGAGAAAACAACACACACAAGACAACAAGUCAAUAUACACAUACCGCACACAACACAUCUAUGUGUCAGUAACUGCACUGUAAAUGUGUUUGUAUGUGCCUGAAACGGGAGGCAUUCUGUAGUGAGAUGAGAUUCAUGCCUGCAUGUAUGAAAAUGUGGGUCUGAAGGCUUUACACAGAAAUGGACCUGGCUAAAACUUUUGUAGCUUGUCCAGGAGCGCCCCCUUGUGUCCAACUCAUGUAACUACCUCACUGCUGCAAUUUAUUAGGCCUCCCCUUAUCUCCCAAAUGGCAUCUUCAGUAGCUUGGCAGCCAUGACAACCAGUCAUUAUCGUCUCAAACCAGACGUAUUGUUGACAGUUGGCUGAGCUGCAUGACUCACAUUAAAUAACCCGCCAACACAACAUGUGUCCUUAAAUUUGAACACAAAUCCAUAUGGUGAAAUGUGAACUGCCCUAAACAAUCUUUAAAAACCACAAAACAUCUUUACAAGUGUUUGUUUAGCUUAUCACAACACAAAAAUACUUUUUUUUUCCUACAGUAUGAUGGUUUCUUCACCAAUGUCAGAGGUGUUUUUAUGAGCUUGUGAGUACUUAAAUGCAUCACAGGUGGUCUUAGAAAACGCGGUCAGAGUUUGUAUCGCUCGCUUCAUGAAUACAAACAAAAACUGUGAUUCUGUGUGUGACUAAAUGUGACAGAUUGGAGGCUGCAGACGUCAUCGCCAGGGAUGAGGCAGUUCGCUAAUUGGAGCAAAGAAUC